GCGGCCGCCGGGCGAUUUCGGAAACUGCCGCGGGCCGGAAGGGGGUGGGUAGGAGGCGGCGGAGCUGGGGAGGGAGCGAGGGCGAGGACGCCCCCGCAUGCAUCUCUUCCACCGCCCCAGGAGCCUGCAGACAUUCCGCGCGAUUGGCUCCGAAGUCGAAGUGUGCUUCCCCAGCCACAGAGUCCCAAAAACCGGGACAGGCAUUUGGAGGCGUUAGAGAUCUGGUCAGAGCAAAGGGAAUGAAGGCCAACAGCCAGAGUCGGGCCCGGUGUGCCCGAGGCCCUGACGCUAUUGAUGGCCUAUACGCAUGAGCGCACCUGCUCGGGGAAGCGCGUCCACGCAGCAUCUGUGCGCGCGAUCGUCUUGUCAGUCUCCCUCCAGCUAUUUCUCCCCAGCAGGGAUAGUCUGGGCCGGACUUGCAAUACUUCUGGACUCCCUAGCUGUAGCUGUUUGCCAGUUUUGCUGUUUGCCUCCUUGUCACGACCUCGGAGAGGGCAGAUGG